UCCUGCUGUUAUCCCAUCCUCCAGGGGUAUAAUUUGGUGGUGCAGGACCACUUCUUUCCCCUGCUCCAGGUGGACUGUAAUUCUGUUGAGGUGGGAAAUUUGGUGGCUGGCCAUGACUGUGAUGCUGUGAAGGCCCAAAGUUUUGCCGUGGCGGUGGGCCAUAGUUUGGCUGUGGAGGUGGGCCAUAGUUUGGCUGUGGAGGUGGGCAAUAGUUCGGCUGCUGUGAAGGUGGCCCAAAGUUUGGCUGCUGUGAAGGUGGGCCAUAGUUCGGCUGCUGCGGCGGCGGGCCAUAGUUCUGCUGCGGCGGCGGUGGGCCAUAGUUCUGCUGCUGUGGUGGUGGGCCAUAGUUCCAACCAUGAUUUCUC
rnacentral:lncRNA from 1 species